ensembl:lncRNA
AUGGUGGAGCUGUUGGUGGUUGAAUUGUUCGUGGAGAGGUGGUUUUGUUGGUGGUUGUUGGAGGGGUUAUAGUUGUUUCUGGAACUGUGCUUUUGCUGGUUGUUGUUGAAGGAGUUGUAAGUGUUUUUAGAAAGGUGGUUAUGUUUGUUGGAGUAGUUGUGGUGGUAGUUAUAUUUAGAGAAGUUGUUGUAGAGGUGGUUGCUAGAGAUAUGGUUGUGCCGGUUGCUUCUAUAGUUUUUAGACUGGCAUUUAUUAGGUUUAUGGGUGUUGUUAGACUAGUCGUUGUGGUGGUGGUUGCUAUAUUUGGUGGAGUUAUGGGUGUUGUUCGAGAGGUAGCUGUUGUUGGAGAGAUGGUUGUGAUAUAUGUAGGUGUUGUCAGUCCAGCGGUUGUGAUGAUAGUUGUUGUAUUUGGAUUACUUGUUGGUGUUGUUGCAGAAGUGGUUGUUGCAGAAAUGAUUGUGCUGAUUGUUGUAUAAGGAGUUGUUGUUUUUGGAGAGGUGGUUAUGAUGUUUAUUGGCAUUGUUGGACUAGUGGUUGUGGGAGACAUUACUGUACCUGGAGGAGUUAUUGGUGUUGUAGAAAUGGUUGCUGGAGAAACAGUUGUACUGGUUGUUAUUGAAGGACUUGUUUUUGGAGAGGUGGAUAUGAUGUGUAUGGGCAUUAUUGGAUUAGUGUAUGUGAUGGUGGUUGUUCUUUUUAUUCUUGUGGGAAUUGUGGGUGUUGUUGCAGAGAAGGUUAGAGAAAUGGUUUUGCUGGUUGUUGUUGGAGUUGCCAUUGCUGGACUAGUGGUUGUGGUGGUUUCUGUGUUCGGAGGAGUUAUGGGUGUUGUUGGAGAGAUGUUUGUGAUAGUCAUAGUUUUUGGACCAGUGGUUGUGAUGGUGGCUGUGGUAUUUGGAUUUGUUGUUGGUGUUGUUGGAAAGGUGGUUGUAGAAGAAAUGGAUGUGCUAGUUGUUGCUGUAGAAGAGGUUGAAGUUGUUUUUGGAGAUGCAGUUAUUAGGUUUAGGGGCAUUGUUGGACUAGUGGUUGUGGUGGGGUUUGCUGUAUUUGUAAGAGUUGUGGGUGUUGUUGGAGAGGUAGCUGUUGUUGGAGAGAUGGAUGUGAUAGUUGUAGUUGUUCUCAGACCAUUGAUUAUGGUGGCCAUUAUUGUUGGAGAUGUGGCUGUUGUUGCUGGAGCUACAGAUGUUGAGUGUGGAGCUGUAGAUGCUACAAAAACAGAAGGUGUUGUGGUGGUACUUGAGGGAAAUGUGGUUGUGUUUUUUUUUUUAGUGGUAGUUGCUGGAACUGUGGAGGUUAGUGUGUUAUUUGUUUUGGUUAUUGGUAUUGUAAGUGCUGUUGUGAUUGGAUGGGUGGUUAUUGUGGUUGAUUUGGUAUUUUUACUAGUUGUUGUUCUUGGAGGGGUGGUUGUUAGUGUAAUUACUGAUGGAAUAGAAGUUGUUGGUGAAAAAAUGGUUGUUGAAGAUGUGGUUGGAGUAAAUUGAGCUAUACUUGUUGAUAGAAAGGAGGGAGUUGAAGAUAUGGAUAUUACAGCUAUAGUUGGAGCUGGAGAUGGUGAAUCUGUAGCAGGUGAAAUUUUAACUGUUGAUUGUAGUAAUGCAAAUGUUGAGGGCAGAUCUGAUAAAGUUGGAGGUGAUAUUUCAGUGGUAGAUGGUGUUUGUGAAGCAGGUGAAAGUACAGAUGGAAAUAAUGGACUUGAAAAUGUUACACUUGAUUCUUGUGUUGCAUAUGAUGAAGAGAAAGCUCUCGGUGUUGACUGAUAGUCUACAGUGGUUUUCACUUUUAUUGCUGAAGAUGUCAAGGUCAAAUCUGUAGAAGAUUCUGGAACGAUAGAUGCUAUAACCGAUGGUGCUGAUAAAUUUCCGGGAGAUUUAGGUGUUGAUGACUGAUCUGUAGAAGAUUCUGGGGAAGUAUAAAGGGAUGCUGUAACUGAUGGUGUUGCUGAAGUUUCUAGAGAUUCCGUUGUUGGUGAGUGAUAUGUUGAUGAUUCCGGGGAAGUAUAUGGAAAUUCUGUAAUUGUUUGUGUUGACGUUUCUGGGGAUUCAGAUGUUGAGUGAUCUGGAGAUGAUUCUGGUGAAACAACAUGUGAUACUGUAGCCAAUGGUGUUGAUAAACAUUCUAGAUAUUCAGAUGUUGAUGACUGAUCUGUAUAGGAUUCUGUUGAAGUAGAUGGUGACAUUGUAACUGCUUGUGUUGCUGAAGUUACUGGAGAUUCAGUGGUUGGUGAGUGAUCUGUAGAUAAUUCUGAGAAAGUAGAUGGUGAUCCACUAACUGCUUGUGUUCCUGAAGUUUCUGGAGAUUUAGAUGUUGACUGAUCUGUAGAUAAUUCUGCAAAAGUAAAAGCUGAUGGUGCAAACAAUGGUGUGAAUAAAGUUCCUGGAGAUUCAGAUGUCAAUAAAUUGUCUGUAAAUUCAGAUGUGGAUGACUGAUCUGUAGAUGAUUCUGGUGAAGUAAGUGGUGACAUUGUAACUGCUUGUGUUGCUGAAGUUUCUGGAUAUUCAGGAGUUGAUGAGUGAUACGUUGAAUGUAAAGAGGUAUAUGGAGAUGCUGAAAUCACUUGUGUUGAUGUUUCUGAAGAUUCAGAUGUUGAGUGAUCUGUAGAUGAUUCUGGUGAAGUUGAUGGUGAUGCUGUAACUGCUUGAGUCGCUGAAGUUUCUGGAUAUUCAAGUGUUGAUAAGUGAUCUAUAGAUAAUUCAGAGAAAGUAAAUGGUGUUGCACCAACUCUUGUGCUGCCGACGUUUCUGGAGAUUUAGAUGUUGUUGACUGAUCUGUAGUGGAUUCUGGUGAUGUACAUGGUGCUGCUGUCCCUGCUUGUGUCGCUGAAGUUUCUGGAGAUUCAACUGUUGAUAAGUGAUCUGUAGAUAAUUCUGAAAAAGUAGAUGGCGACAUUGUAACUGAUGGUGUUGCUGAAGUUUCUGCAGAUUCAUUUGUUGAUGAGUGAUCUGUAGAUAAUUCUGAGAAAGUAGAUGGUGAUGCAGUAACUGUUUCUUCUGCUGAAGUUUCUGGAGACUCAGGUCUUGAAGAGGGAUAUGUUGAUGAUUCUGGGGAAGUAUAUGAAACUGCUGUAAUAAUUUGUGUUGAUGUUUCUGGAAAUUCAAAUGUUGAGUGAUCUGUAGAUGAUUCUAGUGAAGUAGAUGGUGAUGCUCGAAC